rnacentral:lncRNA from 13 species
GAGAAGGGGUCUAGGUGGCCUUGGUGUGACCUUCAAAGUGUAAGGUAGAGUGCUCAGUUUCCCACUCUGGUGAAGGACAAGAAGGCAGAGAAGGGCCACAGCAGUGCCAGGGGGAGCUGCAGGCUCGGGCUGUGGCUCAGGACAGGCAGCAGUGCCGCAACAGCGGAGGGCCUUGGGCUUUUGCAGGGUAGCUGCUGCCUUUCACUCUGCUUCUGCUGGCCCAGCCACUCACUCUCAACCUGGAUGGCCUCGGCUGCCCCAUGGCCUCGGCUGCCCCAUGGCCUCUGCUGUUCUAUGGCCUCAGCUUCCCCAUGGCCUCUGCUGUUCUAUGGCCUCUGCUGUUCCAUGGCCUCUGCUGUCCCAUGGCCUCUGCUGUUCCAUGGCCUCUGCUGUCCCAUGGCCUCUACUCCCCCAUGGCCUCUGUUGUCCCAUGGCCUCUGCUGUUCCAUGGCCCCUGCUGUUCUGUGGCCUCUGCUGUCCUGUGGCCUCUGCUGUUCCAUGGCCUCUGCUGUCAUGUGGCCUCUGCUAUCUAAUGACUCCUGCCAUCUCAUGGCCUCUCUUAUCCUGUGGCCAUGGCUUUCCUGUGGCCUCUGCUGCCCUGGGGCCUCUGCUGUUUGGUGGCCUCUGCUGGCCUGGGGAUUCUGCUACCUGGUGACUUCUCCUUACUGUGUUUUCUGUUUAUAAUAUGAGAUCUGGAGUCAGGCCUCCUGGGUUCAAGCCUUGGUACUCUGUUUCUCAGCUGGGUGGCCCUGGGAAACAGACUGACCUCUGAGCUUCAGUUACAUUUCCCAUAAAAUGAGAAAAACAAGAGAGCAUUAUGAAGAUUAAAGAUGACAAGUAGAUCAUUUGGUUCCAGCCUGGAACCCUGUGAAACCUCUGUCAAUGCAUCCUCUUUCUCCCCCACUUUUCCUUUCUAUUCUGAUUUUAUUGUUUCUGCUAUUCUCUCUCUGUGUCUUCCAGCUUUGGUCCCUGACUAUGAGGCUCACGGGCACCCUGUCACCACCUCCGCAGAGGGGCUGGGCUGGGCCAUUUCGAACCUCCAGAAUUUAACGUCCCUGUUGUCCAGAGUGGCCUGUCCUCAAGCCAUCACCGGCCACUUGCGGCAAGCUGUCUUUGGAAGAAGAGCCAACCUCCAGUUUGGUGAAAGUGUCAGGAUUUGGGAGUGCAGAGCAUGUGACCCCAACAUAAGGCAGCACCCCUGGCCCCUGCCUUGGGGGCACUGUGGGUCUGGCGCAUCCCAGAGCCCAAGCCCAGAUGCAGAAGAGACCGCCAGAGUUGGAUGUUCAGCGCACAGCCACCAAGGCUGGGCCUGCUCCUGUCCCACUGUGUCACGCCGUGUUUGUGCGUUUAUGAUCCUGUGAAAGACAGAACUGGCUGCUGUCGUGUGGGCGAAUGGAGAUUGGGACAAGGACGGAGACACCGUCGGCAGAGUGUUUGACCCCAGAUGGAGGAAUCGGGUUUGGCUAAGUUUUUCUGGAAUCCUUCAGUGAGUCUGGCAUGCUGCUAUCUUUAAUUUCAAAGACUUUGCUGAGGUCUGGCCCCACCACAGCGCGGUGCUGGGGGACAGCAGCCCCCAGGGCCCUAAGGCAGCUUUUCCUCUACCUGGACCCUGUUUCUUUCUGGGCUGUGUGGGGCAUCUCAGCCAGGACUCUGUGCUCUGGCUGACUUUCCCAAGGCCCAGAGAGCAGGGAGUGGUGGCCCCCACCACAAGUGGGCUGGCAGUGGGUGUCACAUGGGGGUGGAGGAGAGGGAAGUCUGGGAAAUAAUGCCCAGCCCUACCCACUGAAGGACCGGGAUGCAGAGAAAUGUCACUGGUGCUGCACAAAAGUGAGGCAUUAUCAUCCCCUUGCAAGGGCAAGUAGAUUAAAAUGCCAAUAACACAGCAAAUUAAGCUUACAGUGAAGUAAACAGAAAUGAAAUCAAUAACCAGCAUAUGGGACAGUUGCCUUUUUCCAAAUGGUCCCCCAGGGACUGGAGCUAGUGGGUGCAUGGGGUAGGGGGC